GAAUCCAAGAGGAAAUUCUCCAACCUCUGAAUUGGAUAAUUCUCAUAGUAAAAGGAACCAGUUGAAAACUAUCAUUCUUGUACACUUUUUUUUUUUUUUUAACCCCAAUAAAGUUGGAGUUUUUGCAAGGUGGUAAAUGUUCAGUAGCUAGGCUUCCUUGAAGUAGCCAGCUGAAUCAGUACAGUAUCUAUAUUAUCAACAAAUACUUGUGAUCUUAUUGUAAGUUCUUUCUGUAGUGUCUAAUUUGAGUGGGUCAGAUACUUGGGGAAUGCAGCUAUAAAAUUUGGCUAGGUACCAAGUAGAACACAAAAUGGGAUUAUUUUUCCAAGUAAUUUUUUGCCAGUAACAAGUUAAUCAUAAAGAUUCCUCUCCCAUUUUUGUGCUUUUGCUGGUGCCAUGUAGGGACCAGGGCAUUUUAAUAAAUAAUCCCUGUCCCCUGGCUCUUUACUGGCAAGACUAUUGUAGGUUAGGUUAUUCAUAAGUCUUAAUGCUUUGUCUUGAUAUUUUCUCUUUUGUCCUGCUGUAUCUUUGUUCCUUUUAUAUCUUUAUUGCGGUGAUGAGUUCCUUCCAGAGGAAAAGCAAGAAAUCCAGAAAAGCUGCCUCCUGGAUUGUAAUUCUGGCCCCAUCUAAGGCCAGAAUCACCAGAAACCUGAAAAUAAACACAUUGACCCUGAGAGCAAGGGAAGAGAGACUUUGCUCAGAAAGAAGGAAAUCCAGAUAA
rnacentral:lncRNA from 1 species